CCUACGGGGUGCUGCAGUGAGGAAUAUUGGUCAAUGGGCGGGAGCCUGAACCAGCCAAGCCGCGUGAGGGAAGAAGGUACAGCGUAUCGUAAACCUCUUUUGUCAGGGAACAAAGGCGGGGACUAGUCCCCGGAUGAGGGUACCUGAAGAAAAAGCAUCGGCUAACUCCGUGCCAGCAGCCGCGGUAAUACGGAGGAUGCGAGCGUUAUCCGGAUUUAUUGGGUUUAAAGGGUGCGCAGGCGGCCUGUUAAGUCAGCGGUAAAAGCCCGGGGCUCAACCCCGGCGAGCCGUUGAAACUGGCGCUCUUGAGUGGAAGAGAAGUAUGCGGAAUGCGUGGUGUAGCGGUGAAAUGCAUAGAUAUCACGCAGAACUCCGAUUGCGAAGGCAGCUUACUAAACUAUAACUGACACUGAAGCACGAAAGCGUGGGGAUCAAACAGGAUUAGAUACCCCUGUAGUC
rnacentral:rRNA from 1 species